UAAUAAAAAAAAUUAUUUUUAAGUAUAAAUAAGAAAAAAUUAUUUUUAAUUAUAGAUAAUUAGUAUUGAAAUAGAAAUAUUAAUAUAUAGAAAAAAGAAAAAUUAUAUUUUGUACCUUGUGUAUCAGGGUUUAUUAAAUAAAAUAAAAAUUAUAUUUUCUCGAAUUUAAAAGAGCUAAAAUUAUAAUUAUUUUAUUGUAAAAUAAAUAUUUAAAAUUUAAUUUUAGUAAUGAAAUGUUAUUCGUUUUUAAUAUAUCUAGUUAUUUAAGAAAAAAAUUUAAUUUUUUUAUUAAAAAUAAUUAUUUAAUUUUUUAAAUUUUUAUUAAUAAUAAUUUAUUUAUAAGGGGAUAAGCUUUUAUAAAAAAUAUUUAUAAGUAAUUGAUUAAAUAAAAUUUAUAGGAUUAGUAGUGUUCAUUAAAAAAAUAAUGUUAUAAUUAAUUUUGUUAAAUUAAUAUUUAUAUAAAUUUUAAAUAUUUUAUUAAAUUAUAAAUUAAAAUUUAUAUUUUUUAGUAAUAAUGAUAAAAUUAGUAAAAAUUUAUUUAAAAUAUAUUUUUUAUUAAGAUUAAUUAAAGGAAUUCGGCAAAAAAUUUUUCACCUGUUUAUUAAAAACAUGGCCUUUUGAUUAUAAUUUAAGGUCUAACCUGCCCACUGAGGGGUUAAAGGGCCGCGGUAUUUUGACCGUGCUAAGGUAGCAUAAUCAUUAGUUUUUUAAUUGGAAGCUGGAAUGAAUGGUUGGAUGAAAUAAUAACUGUCUCUAAUUAAUAUAAAUUGAAUUUUAUUUUUAAGUAAAAAAGCUUAAAUAAAUUUAAAAGACGAGAAGACCCUAUAGAGUUUGAUAAAAUUUUAUUUUUAAAUUUUUAGAAUUAUAAUUUUAUUAAGAAAAUUUUAUUUAAUUGGGGCGAUUGAAAAAUUUGAUAAACUUUUUUUAUAUUUUUACAUUAUUAAAUGAAAAUUUGAUCCAUAAAUUAUGAUUAUAAGAUUAAAUUACCUUAGGGAUAACAGCGUAAUUUUUUUUGAGAGUUCAAAUCGAAAAAAAAGUUUGCGACCUCGAUGUUGGAUUAAGAUUAAUUUUUGGUGUAGAAGCUAAGAAUUUUAGGUCUGUUCGACCUUUGAAAUUUUACAUGAUCUGAGUUUAAACCGGCGUGAGCCAGGUUGGUUUCUAUCUUUAAAUAAUAGGUAUAUUUUAGUACGAAAGGACCAAGUAUAUAAUAAAUUAUUUCUAAAUUGAAUAUAAU
rnacentral:rRNA from 1 species